UACGUAGGGGGCAAGCGUUGUCCGGAUUUACUGGGCGUAAAGAGCGCGCAGGCGGCCGGGUAAGUCGAAUGUGAAAGCCCCCGGCUCAACUGGGGAAGGUCAUUCGAUACUGUUCGGUUUGAAGAUAGGAGAGGGAAGCGGAAUUUCAGGUGUAGUGGUGAAAUGCGUAGAUAUCUGAAGGAACACCAGUGGCGAAGGCGGCUUUCUGGCCUAUUCUUGACGCUGAGGCGCGAAAGCUAGGGGAGCGAACGGG
rnacentral:rRNA from 1 species